UACGAAGGGGGCUAGCGUUGUUCGGAAUCACUGGGCGUAAAGCGCACGUAGGCGGAUUGUUAAGUCAGAGGUGAAAUGCCAAGGCUCAACCUUGGAACUGCCUUUGAUACUGGCAAUCUCGAGUCCGGGAGAGGUGAGUGGAACUGCGAGUGUAGAGGUGAAAUUCGUAGAUAUUCGCAAGAACACCAGUGGCGAAGGCGGCUCACUGGACCGGUACUGACGCUGAGGUGCGAAAGCGUGGGGAGCAAACAGG
rnacentral:rRNA from 1 species